GAUGAACGCUGGCGGCAUGCCUAACACAUGCAAGUCGAUCGGUAAGGCUCUUCGGAGUACCCGAGAGGCGGACGGCUGAGUAACGCGUAGGAACACACCCUGCAGUGAGGGAUAAGACACCGAAAGGUGUUCUAAUACCGCAUACGGUCUUCGGAUUAAAGCAUUUAUGCGCUGAAGGAGUGGCCUGCGUCAUAUUAGAUAGUUGGUGAGGUAAUGGCUCACCAAGUCGAUGAUGUGUAGCUGGUCUGAGAGGAUGAUCAGCCAGACUGGAACUGAGACACGGUCCAGACUCCUACGGGAGGCGGCAGUGAGGAAUAUUUCACAAUGAGCGAAAGCUUGAUGGAGCAAUGCCGCGUGCAGGAUGAAGGCCCUCGGGUUGUAAACUGCUUUUAUAAGAGAAGAUUAUGACGGUAACUUAUGAAUAAGGGACGGCUAACUACGUG
rnacentral:rRNA from 1 species